CCCCCUGAGUCAUCGCCCUGCGCGGCCCCGCCGGACCCAGCCAUGCAGAACUAUCGGGGGCUCACGGACAAGGAGCUGCUGGAGAAGCUCAAGAGCUACCGCAUCCCCCAUGGGGCCCUCCAGGGCUCCACGAGGAAGCUCUAUGAGAAGAAGAUCUACGAGUUCGAGACCCGGCGGUGCCGGCGGGGGGGUGGCGAUGGUCCCGACCACGACGGGCCCCCCCUGGACUAUGGGGGAGCAGCACGAGCCUGGCAGCCUAUCACGGAGCGUUUCCGAGGCCCCCCCGGGCUGAUGGAGGAGGAGCAGAGGCUGGACCCUCCCAGUUGGGGGCCCGGGGGGGGCCCGUUGCCGCGGGAACCGCUGCGGCCCCCCCCGCCUCCGCCUCCCCCCACGGGCCUCCCCCGGCGCCUCCUCCCGCUGCGGCCGCAGCUCCUGGCCCUGGGGCUCCUCGUGGCCCUUCUGGUGCUGCUGCACUUCGGGGGGGGGGGGGGGCACCCCCGAAACCACCCCCCCGCGGAGGAGACCCCCCCAUAACCCCCCUCCUCGACCCCAAUGUCUCACAGGGACCCCCCCAAACCCCACAAGGACCCCCUCAGGGACCCCCCCUCCACGGAUCCCCAUUAUCCCCUUGGGAGCCCCCAGAUCACGCCUAGACCCUCCCCAGACCCCCCUUGUUCCGACACGACCCCCCGAAACCGGGGGGGGGAUGAGGGGCGGGAGUCUCCCCC
rnacentral:lncRNA from 1 species